UACAGAGGCCCCGAGCGUUAAUCGGAAUCACUGGGCUUAAAGGGUGCGUAGGCGGGCCAGUAAGCGCUUUGUGAAAUCCCCCGGCUCAACCGGGGAACCGCAGGGCGAACUGCUGGUCUUGAGGAAGCUAGAGGCUGGUAGAACGAUAGGUGGAGCGGUGGAAUGCGUAGAGAUCUAUCGGAAUGCCGAAAGUGAAGACAGCCAGCUGGGGCUUUCCUGACGCUAAAGCACGAAAGCGUGGGGAGCAAACCGG
rnacentral:rRNA from 1 species